rnacentral:lncRNA from 1 species
GCAGUCGGUGGCCUUGCGGGUUUCGGGGACGGACGGCUUACCCCGGUGUGGUGCUGGCGAAGGUGGCUCGCGGGCAUCUCCUGCAACGGCCUUGAGGAUGGAAAGGGCUUUCCUCUCCACGCUCUGGCCAGCCUGCGCCUCAGCUCCCGAAGUUGAGAGCUUUCCUUGCGCCAGCGUGCUUUAGUCGUUCCAACCAGUUAAACCAGACUGGGGGCCGCCCGGCUGGCCGCUGGGUGGGGCGGCUGCCCCGCCUUCGACUGGGUGUGGGAUUGGAGGAAAGAGCGCCGUGGGCCUGUAGGGAUAGGCGGGAAUAAACCUCUGUCGGGAACAUCCACGGAAUUCCUGAAGCGGGUGUGGGCUUCUGCAGGGCUUCAGCGCGCCCCCGGCUCAGCAGUUACCGAGCAGCCCCCGAGGAAAGCUGCCCAGUCCGUGUUUGGCUGGCAGUAGAGAUAACUGAAUUUCUUCGAGAAGCCUUUCACCCAGGCUUGUUGAGUUGCUCUGCUAAUGCGUAGCGAAGGCUGGAAACGGCUUCAGCAGUCUUCGUGUUUUCUGAAAUGUGGCAGUUUAUUAGGGGAGAGGAGGGACUUGGAAUAGACGACCCUACCUGUCACUCGCAUUCCUACGUGCAGCACUCUGUGGCACUUCGUUGCCCGUUUAGAUUGGCCGCUGCUAUCCAUCUUGCUCUCUGCUCCCACAUCAGCUUUCCUCAAAGCGGGCGGUAAAUUUGUCCCUAGUACUCUGCGCUCCCUACUCAGUAAAGUUCAACCCCUGGGGCCUUAGAUUCAUUCAGGGGCCUCCCACGAGUGGAUACGGGAUGGUCUGAGGUAGCCAUUGGUCUUUGACUUUCGGAAAAGCCUUCUCAUGGCUCCUCUCGCAGUAGAACAGUCUUCUCUGACCACUGGGUUGGGCAGGUGAGCAUGGCAGUGACAAUUCUCUGCCUGUGACAGCACUGAUUCGGCCAAGGGGCAGGCACUGAUCCACGCUGGGCCUUAUGGAGGCCUUGCCUGAAGCUGCUAUGUGGAUGCAGGAGGGGAGCAGAGGGAGUUUUCUACUGAGGCAAUUGCUGAUGGACGUGUUUCUUGCAACAUCGAGUGGCCUAGCCAAAGGUGAGGGUGUGAAAGAGAAGAAAGGAGAAAUGGAAAGGGAGAAAGAGCUGGCAGAAUGUAGACCGUGGUUUCAUUUGGAGGGCAUGGUUUGUGGAGCUCUUUAAGUGCUGUGAGCAUGUGAGCCUAAGUGGGUGAGCCCACUCAUUCAUUGAUUUAUUAUUUGGAGCCAAUAUGUGUGGAUAUUGAAUGUAUUUGUUGGCUGCCACUUGAGCAUUUAUUCCUUCCAUUUAAGCCAGGCAACAUAACCAUUCCCUCUAGCAGCAGAGAUGGUCACAAGCCCAGUCAGAAACAAUGAACCCACAAAGACUGGGGCUGAGGCUUCCAGUAAACUGUAGCUUCCUUGCUCCUCUAGCAUGGUGUAAGUAUAUGAUGCCUGGAAAUGUGGCAACCGUUUUCCUCCUAUAAGGGGAAACCCUAGAGGGAUGGGAGUUUAGAGGGACAGCAACAAGUAGAGCCUGGGGUUGAAGUCAGUACUGUCAAAUGAAUGCGGGAAAGAUGGAGAAGAACCUUGUGUUUGGUGGCAUGAUUUGAGCUGCAGUAUCAAACCUCACCUGUUUGAUUCUAUGGACUAUCCUAUAGACUAUUCGGGAUUGUGAGCAAGGCCAUCUUACAGACUAUCCAGAAUUGUGAACCACAAAUUUCCUGUACUGUUUAAGCCAGUUCAUAUUAAAAUUCUAAAAGUCCUAACUAAUUCAGUUGAAUUUCUUUUACAUGACUCUGAAAGGUCCUAACUAAUACAGGUUCCUACGUAAAAAACUGUGGAAGGGACUUUUAGCUAUGUCUGUGUGGCAUAGUCAGCAAUUCUCUGCACACAAAACCAGUAUAAAAUUGGAUAAAUUGGCAAAAACAACCAUUUCAGAGCACUGGAAAUCAAACAAAUACAGAAAACAAUUUGAGAAACAUCUAUUCUUCAGAAACAGCUAGCAG